rnacentral:rRNA from 1 species
AUUGAACGCUGGCGGCAUGCUUUACACAUGCAAGUCGAACGGCAGCGCGGGCUUCGGCCUGGCGGCGAGUGGCGAACGGGUGAGUAAUGCAUCGGAACGUGCCCAGUAGUGGGGGAUAGCCCGGCGAAAGCCGGAUUAAUACCGCAUACGACCUGCGGGUGAAAGCGGGGGACCGAAAGGCCUCGCGCUAUUGGAGCGGCCGAUGCCGGAUUAGCUAGUUGGUGGGGUAAAGGCUUACCAAGGCGACGAUCCGUAGCUGGUCUGACAGCCCGACCAGCCACACUAGGACUGAGACCCGGCCCAGACGCCUACGGGAUGCACCAGUCGGGAAUUUUGGACAAUGGGGGCAACCCUGAUCCAGCCAUGCCGCGCGCGGGAAGAAGGCCUUCGGGUUGUAAACCGCUUUUGUUCGGGAAGAAAUCCUCUGGGCUAAUACCCCGGGGGGAUGACGGUACCGGAAGAAUAAGCACCGGCUAACUACGUG